rnacentral:rRNA from 1 species
UACAGAGGGGGCAAGCGUGGUUCGGAAUUACUGGGCGUAAAGGGCGCGUAGGCGGCCUGUUAAGUCGAACGUGAAAUCCCCGGGCUCAACCCGGGAGCUGCGUCCGAUACUGGCAGGCUUGAAUCCGGGAGAGGGAUGCGGAAUUCCAGGUGUAGCGGUGAAAUGCGUAGAUAUCUGGAGGAACACCGGUGGCGAAGGCGGCAUCCUGGACCGGCAUUGACGCUGAGGCGCGAAAGCCAGUGGAGCAAACGGU